AGCAGCCGCGGUAAUUCCAGCUCCAAUAGCGUAUAUUAAAGUUGCUGCAAGUUAAAAAGCUCGUAGUUGAAUUUCGGGAUCGAUAUAUCGGUCGUGCCUCGGUACGUACUGGUAUUUUCGGUUUCUACCUUCUGACGAACCUUGAUGUCAUUAAUUUGGUGUCUUGGGGAAUCAGGACUGUUACUUUGAAAAAAUUAGAGUGUUUAAAAGCAGGCUCACGCUUGAAUACAUUAGCAUGGAAUAAUGAAAUAGGACGUUUGGUUCUAUUUUGUUGGUUUCUAGGAUCGACGUAAUGAUUAAUAGGGAUAGUUGGGGGCAUUAGUAUUCAAUUGUCAGAGGUGAAAUUCUUGGAUUUAUUGAAGACUAACUACUGCGAAAGCAAUUUGCCAAGGAUGUUUUCAUUAAUCAAGAACGAAAGUUAGGGGAUCGAAGACGAUCAGAUACCGUCGUAGUCUUAACCAUAAACUAUGCCGACUAGGGAUCGGAUGAUGUAAUUUUUAAUGUACUCAUUCGGCGCCUU
rnacentral:rRNA from 1 species